rnacentral:rRNA from 4 species
UUGACCUCAAAUCAGGUAGGACUACCCGCUGAACUUAAGCAUAUCAAUAAGCGGAGGAAAAGAAACUAACAAGGAUUCCCCUAGUAACUGCGAGUGAAGCGGGAAGAGCUCAAAUUUGAAAUCUGGCGGUUCUUGACCGUCCGAGUUGUAAUCUAGAGAAGUGCUACCUGUGCUGGACCGUGUACAAGUCUCCUGGAAUGGAGCAUCACAGAGGGUGAGAAUCCCGUCUUUGACACGGACUGCCUGUACGUUGUGGUGCGCUCUCGAAGAGUCGAGUUGUUUGGGAAUGCAGCUCAAAAUGGGUGGUAAAUGCCAUCUAAAGCUAAAUAUUGGCGAGAGACCGAUAGCGAACAAGUACCGUGAGGGAAAGAUGAAAAGAACUUUGGAAAGAGAGUUAAACAGUACGUGAAAUUGCUGAAAGGGAAACGCUUGAAGUCAGUCGCGUCGGCUAGAAAUCAGCCUUGCUUUUGCUUGGUGUACUUUCUUGUUGAUGGGUCAGCAUCAAUUUUGACCAUCGGAUAAAGUCGUCGGGAAUGUGGCAUCUUCGGAUGUGUUAUAGCCUGGCGUCGCAUACGGUGGUUGGGAUUGAGGAGCUCAGCACGCCGCAAGGCCGGGUCUCUUGACCACGUCCGUGCUUAGGAUGCUGGCAUAAUGGCUUUAAUCGACCCGUC